rnacentral:rRNA from 1 species
CCCCCUCCACCACCCCGCGGUACCCCCCCCCCCCAACAGCGUAUAAUAGGUGUUGUCGCAGUUAAAAAGGCGCGUAGGGGGAUUUCUGAUAAUUAUUUAUAAAAAAUUUUUUGAUGAAUUUUUUAUAUAAUAUUAACAUUAUUCAUAUUACUAUUUUUUUUAGUAUAUGAAAUUUUACUUUGAGAAAAUUAGAGUGCUUAAAGCAGGCAUAUGCCUUGAAUACUCCAGCAUGGAAUAAUAUUAAAGAUUUUUAUCUUUUUUAUUGGUUCUAAGAUAAGAAUAAUGAUUAAUAGGGACAGUUGGGGGCAUUUGUAUUUAACAGUCAGAGGUGAAAUUCUUAGAUUUGUUAAAGACAAACUAAUGCGAAAGCAUUUGCCAAGGAUGUUUUCAUUAAUCAAGAACGAAAGUUAGGGGAUCGAAGACGAUCAGAUACCGUCGUAGUCUUAACCAGAAACUAUGCCAUAUUAGAGACAAAGGUG